rnacentral:rRNA from 1 species
GUGAUUCGUCACACUAUCAUUAACUGAAUCCAUAGGUUAAUGAGGCGAACCGGGGGAACUGAAACAUCUAAGUACCCCGAGGAAAAGAAAUCAACCGAGAUUCCCCCAGUAGCGGCGAGCGAACGGGGAGGAGCCCAGAGCCUGAAUCAGCAUGUGUGUUAGUGGAAGCGUCUGGAAAGGCGCGCGAUACAGGGUGACAGCCCCGUACACAAAAGCGCAUGUGCUGUGAGCUCGAUGAGUAGGGCGGGACACGUGGUAUCCUGUCUGAAUAUGGGGGGACCAUCCUCCAAGGCUAAAUACUCCUGACUGACCGAUAGUGAACCAGUACCGUGAGGGAAAGGCGAAAAGAACCCCGGCGAGGGGAGUGAAAAAGAACCUGAAACCGUGUACGUACAAGCAGUGGGAGCACCCUUCGGGGUGUGACUGCGUACCUUUUGUAUAAUGGGUCAGCGACUUAUAUUCUGUAGCA